rnacentral:tRNA from 1 species
GAACUCUUAGCUCAACAGGAUAGAGCAACAGUUUCCUAAACUGUAGGUUACGAGUUCAAUUCUCUCAGGGUUCA